UAUAAGUGAUGGCGACCGGCGCACGGGUGAGUAACACGUAUCCAACCUGCCGAUAACUCGGGGAUAGCCUUUCGAAAGAAAGAUUAAUACCCGAUGGUAUAAUAAAACCGACAUGGUUUAAUUAUUAAAGAAUUUCGGUUAUCGAUGGGGAUGCGUUCCAUUAGGCAGUUGGUGAGGUAACGGCUCACCAAACCUUCGAUGGAUAGGGGUUCUGAGAGGAAGGUCCCCCACAUUGGAACUGAGACACGGUCCAA
rnacentral:rRNA from 1 species